rnacentral:rRNA from 1 species
GAGAUAGCUGGUUCUCCCCGAAAACUAUUGAGGUAGUGCCUCGGAGCGUGUGUCGCGGAGGUAGAGCACUGAAAGGACGCGGGGCCCCACCGGGUUACCAACUCCUAUCAAACUCCGAAUGCCGUAGACAUGGACUCCGGGAGACAGUGCACGAGCGAUAAUGUCCGUGCGCGAGAGGGAAAGAGCCCAGACCCUCGGCUAAGGCCCCAAAGUGCGGGCUAAGUGAGAAAGGAUGUGGGUGUGCACUGACAACUGGGAGGUUGGCUUAGAAGCAGCCAUGCCUUGAAAGAGUGCGUAAUAGCUCACCAG